CGGGUUAGUAACACGUGGAUAAUCAACCCCAAAGUUAGGCAUAGCCCGGAGAAAUCCGGGGUAAUUCCUAAUAGUCCUACUCUGUAAUAAGGUAUAGGUAAAGCUCCGGCGCUUUGGGACGAGUCCGCGGCCUAUCAGUUUGUUGGUGAGGUAAUGGCUCACCAAGACUAUGACGGGUAGGGGGCGUGAGAGCGUGAUCCCCAACAAUGGUACUGAGAAACGGACCAUACACCUACGGGUGGCUGCAGUCGAGAAUCUUCGGCAAUGGGCGAAAGCCUGACCGAGUGACACCGCAUGUGGGAAGAAGACCUUCGGGUUGUAAACCACUUUUAUAGGGGAGGAACUUUUGUGACGUUACCCUAUGAAUAAGGGGGGGCUAAUCACGUGCCAGCAGCAGCGGUAAUACGUGACCCUCAAACGUUAUCCGAAAUUAUUGGGCGUAAAGAGUCUUAAGGUGGUCCGGAUAGUUUUUGGUUAAAUUUUUGGAGCUUAACUUCAGAACUGCCAGAAAUACUUCCGAACUAGAGGGCGUUAGAGGCAAGCAGAACGCACGGAGUAGGGGUGAAAUCCGUUGAUAUCGUGCGGAAUACCAAAAGCGAAGGCAGCUUGCUGGGACGACCCUGACACUGAUUGACGAAAGCUAGGGGAGUGAAGAGGAUUAGAUACCCUCGUAAUCCUAGCCGUAAACGAUGGACACUAGCUGGUGGAAGUAUCGACCCUUUCACUGGCGAAGCUAACGCGUUAAGUGUCCCGCCUGGGAAGUACGUCGGCAACGAUAAAACUCAAAGGAAUAGACGGGGAUUUACACAAGCGGUGGAUCACGUGGCUUAAUUCGAUGUUAAGCGGAUAACCUUACCAGGGCUUGACUCGCUAAUGGAAAGCUGAGGGAAACCUCGGCCCCCGCAAGGCCAUUAGUACAGGUGUUGCAUGGUUGUCGUCAGCAGUAGUCGUGAGAUGCUCUCUUAAAUGAGGUAUACUGCGCAACCCUUACUCUAUGUUUUAUUUGUCAUAGAGGACUGCCAAGGUCAACUUGGAGGAAGGCGGGGACAACGCCAAAUCAGCAUGACCCUUACGUCCUGGGCAGCACACGUGAUACAAUGGCAAGUUUAAUAGGUCGCCAAGCGGUAACGCGGAGCUAAUCCUUAAAGCUUGUCUCAGUUCGGAUUGAGGUCUGAAACUCGACCUCAUGAAGUCGGAAUCGCUAGUAAUCGCGGAUCAGCUACGCCGCGAUGAAUAUGUCACUGAAUCUUGUACUCACCGCCCGUCACGCCAGAGAAGCUGGGAACACCCGAAGUGCCCAUGAACUUGGGACCUAAGGUGGAUUCAGUAACUAGGGCGAAGUCGUAACAAGGCA
rnacentral:rRNA from 1 species